CUCUUGGUAUAUUUCUAAGUAACCUCUGCCCUAUGAUUUAUUUAAAUGGCCGCAGUACUUUGACUGUGCAAAGGUAGCAUAAUCACUUGCUUUUUAAUUAGGAGCUGGAAUGAAAGAGGCGACGAAAUCUAGACUAUUUAAAUUUUAAAAUAAAUUGACAAGUAGGUCAAAAGGCCUAUAUAGRCCAAAGGGACGAUAAGACCCUAUAAAACUUUACUUUUUACACGAURUUUGAUAGUGUAAUYUUAUGUUAAAGAGUUUAACUGGGGCGGUARUUAUAAAAACAAUUAUAUAUAAAAUAUAUUAAAUAGUAAAGUAGAACUCUUUAAGAAAUAGAAUAAGUUACUUUAGGGAUAACAGCGUAAUUCUCCCAGAGAGUCCUAAUUGGCGGGGGAGAUUACGACCUCGAUGUUGAAUUGGGAC
rnacentral:rRNA from 1 species